rnacentral:lncRNA from 1 species
CCCAUUUUUACUUUUGUUGCACUUUACUUUCAUUCAGCUUUUAAUUACUUGCUUUCAAUUGUACUUUCAAUUAGUUCUCUUGGUCUUGAUUGAGAAAAAUAAAUAGGUAAUCAAUUCUCUAUGGAUUCGAUCCUUCACCACUAUCUGCAGUUGUAAAUUGUUGAUAACCAAGAAGGUUAUUUUUGACCAGCUUUGACAACCGCACUGUCAAUGAUCACCUUUGUCCCAAGUAGAUAGGACCUAAAUUUCUCCAAUU